GGAUUGCAGCUCAGUGGUAGAGCACUUGCCUAGCAUGUGUGAGGCACUGGGUUCAAUCCUCAGCACCA
rnacentral:tRNA from 1 species